AAGCAGGGAGUUGCAGAGGGCCGAGAGCUGGGAAGACAAGAUUGAGAGAGAGAGAGAGAUAGGAAGCUGGGAUCGAGGGAGAGAGGGCAAGGCCGAGAGUAAGAGAAUGAGAGUAGAGAAAGAGGGAGCAAGAUCGAGAGAGAGAGAGAGCUGGGUGUGGUGGCAGCCAUGGCCGCGGGCAGCAAGCGGCCAUGGCAGCGAGGCUGCUGUUGCAGCAGCCGGGAGCAGAGCGGAGCGAGCAGGGGCAGCCGGCGACGGUGGCGCGAAGGCCGGUUGCGGAGGCGACGCGAGUGGAGGCCGAAGGCAGCGGUGCGUGGCGGAGGAAGGCAGCAAGCGGCCACGCGCAUGGCAGCCGCGAGGUGGCAGCACAGGUCGCGCGUUUCAGGUGCUCGGGUGAAGAAGAAGAAGAAGAAGAAAGGAAAAAAGAAAAGAAAGAAAGAAGGAGAAGAAGAAAAGGAAGAAGCAGAGGAGUUGCAGGAGGCGGGACAAGAAGAAGAGAGGAAGGAGGAGGGAAGAAAAAAAAAAGAAAAAAAAAAAAGAAAAGAAAUGAAAUGAAAAAAAUAGAAAAAAAUUGGAGAAAAUUUUUGAAAAAACUUCAAGAAAUAGGAAAUUAUAUUUCGGAAAUAUUCCAGAGAUUUGGCAAGAAAAAAGGCCCGGGUACGCGUUUCGGGAAUAUGACACGCAUAUUGAGGAAGCUAGAGAUGCUAAGUUAAGGUUGGCACGCAAAUCAAGGUAGUCACGCACUUGAGGUUAAAAGCACGUUUCUCGAGAUUUAAGCAGAUUUCAAAGAUGGAAAUUGUAGCAGAAACGAAGAUGAACGAGGCAUGAAAUGGCACUUGGCAAAGUGCAUGAUGAAAUGAAUGUGAAUGAAAUGUAUGAUAUGUAGCCCAUAUAUUUAAAUUAUGCUACUUUGUUCUCUGAACGUUUUGAAAGUCCAUGAUGUAAGAUAUGAUUUAUGAUUGAAGUUUAAGGAAUGAUAAUGUAUAACCCUAUUUAGGGUUAAUGUUGAUUAAGAACUUAUGUUAUGUAUUAAGUUAUAUUGAGGAGUUAUGUCCCAUUGAUAAAUAGCUUUGUAUUAAGGAUUAAGUUCGAAAAGCAAU